UGUCCAAUGCGGGAAUCGAACCCGGGUCCUAGUGGUCGAAAACCAAACGGUUUAACCAGCCUUCCACCGACCAUCACAUGAC
rnacentral:tRNA from 1 species